CGCCUAGUUGGAGCCCCGGCCCCUCAGCCCCCGCCCUCCCUGGGCCUCGCACGGCCCCGCGCCCGCGGACAAAGCUCUGGACAUCGGACCGCACAGUCGCCACCCCCUGACCCCCGGCCGGCCCGCGCGCUCCCGCGCCUACCCCCUCCCUGGCCUGCGACGCGUACCUCGGCAUCCCGGCCGGGUCCUAGGUCGUACUUCGAGGCUCUGCCGCCACCCUUUCUGGGACUUCCUUUCCUUCCGGGUGGUAGUUCAGCAAGAGCAUCCGUAGGACAGGACUCACGCUGGAGGGGCUUCCUCUAACCUGCAGAACAGGCCUCUGACCUCCAAGUCUGGCAGAAUUCUAAAGACUCUUCACUUGUGAUUAUGUUUCCGGAUCCCACAGACCCAGACAGCUCUGUAGAUUGGCAGGGAAGAGGAAGGCACAGGCCGCCAAUCAUCCUUUUUGUCUUUUCUUUUUCAUAGUCUAAUGGAUUUCAGGCUCUCCCAGCCCAGUUCAGAUGAGACCUGCACCAUAAGGCUACUGGCCUCACGAAGGAAAGGCUACCCUCU
rnacentral:lncRNA from 1 species